UUGGGGUAGAGGGUUGGGGUAUUGUAGGACUGAGGCUGGGUAAAGGGUUGGGGUAUCAUAGGACUGAGGCUGGGUAAAGGGUUGGGGUAGAGGGUUGGGGUAUUGUAGGACUGAGGCUGGGUAGAGGGUUGGGGUAUCAUAGGACUGAGGCUGGGUAAAGGGUUGGGGUAGAGGGUUGGGGUAUUGUAGGACUGAGGCUGGGUAAAGGGUUGGGGUAGAGGGUUGGGGUAUUGUAGGACUGAGGCUGGGUAAAGGGUUGGGGUAGAGGUAUUAUAGGACUGAGACUGGGUAAAGGGUUGGGGUAUUGUAGGACUGAGGCUGGGUAAAGGGUUGGGGUAGAGGGUUGGGGUAUUAUAGGACUGAGGCUGGGUAAAGGGUUGGGGUAGAGGGUUGGGGUAUUGUAGGACUGAGGCUGGGUAAAGGAUUGGGGUAUCAUAGGACUGAGGCUGGGUAAAGGGUUGGGGUAUCAUAGGACUGAGGCUGGGUAAAGGGUUGGGGUAGAGGGUUGGGAUAUUGUAGGACUGAGGCUGGGUAAAGGGUUGGGGUAGAGGGUUGGGGUAUUAUAGGACUGAGGCUGGGUAAAGGGUUGGGGUAGAGGGUUGGGGUAUUGUAGGACUGAGGCUGGGUAAAGGGUUGGGGUAUCAUAGGACUGAGGCUGGGUAAAGGGUUGGGGUAUCAUAGGACUGAGGCUGGGUAAAGGGUUGGGGUAGAGAGUUGGGGUAUUAUAGGACUGAGACUGGGUAAAGGGUUGGGGUAUUGUAGGACUGAAGCUGGGUAAAGGGUUGGGGUAUUAUAGGACUGAGACUGGAUAAAGGGUUGGGGUAUUGUAGGACUGAGGCUGGGUAAAGGGUUGGGGUAUUGUAGGACUGAGGCUGGGUAAAGGGUUGGGGUAUUAUAGGACUGAGGCUGGGUAAAGGGUUGGGGUAGAGGGUUGGGGUAUUGUAGGACUGAGGCUGGGUAAAGGGUUGGGGUAGAGGGUUGGGGUAUUAUAGGACUGAGACUGGGUAAAGGGUUGGGGUAUUGUAGGACUGAGGCUGGGUAAAGGAUUGGGGUAUCAUAGGACUGAGGCUGGGUAAAGGGUUGGGGUAUUGUAGGACUGAGGCUGGGUAAACAACACACGUCUGUUGUAUGACUGCACACACACACACACACACGUCUGUUGUAUGACUGCACACACACACACGUCUGUUGUAUGACCUCACACGGCCGGGCGCUUGACACUGAGGAGAUACCACAUAUGUAAAUGAUGUGUUAAUUUUAAUAUCAGCUGUGAAAGGACUCCGGGCCAUCCCCUCUACCCUGCACCUCCCCC
ensembl:lncRNA